CCCAUGUCUUGAGCGUGCUCUGUUGCAGGGCUCGCCCGAACGAGAAUGACAGCGUCCAUGGCUUCAACACUUCCAGUUUGUUCAUCGCAUCCAGAUUCUGCGUCGCCUCUUCCUCGCUUUGGCCUCCUGAUAAGAACACAAUCCCCGGCACUGCCGGUGGAACGGUUCGGCGAAGUGCGGUUACUGUGUAUUGCGCAAUCACCUCUGGUGCCACCUGUGGCGAAUCGGUACAUGGUUUUUCAGACAUCAGUAUAAUAUAGGAAUUUCAUUGAUCGUAUAUAUGAGAUACCAUAUGGGUUUUUACACUACCUUUGGGCUGUCAGAACCUGGAGUGACCAUGUUGGGCUUCAAAAGGGUGCCCUCGAGUAAAACAUGGUGAUCAUUCAGCGCCUUGUAAACAGCGGCAAGCACGGUUUCAGUGACAGCGGCACAUUUUUUAAUAUCAUGAGGGCCAUCAGUUAGCACCUCAGGCUCAACAAUGGGGACGAGCCCAUUUUCCUGACAAAUGAUGGCAUAAC
rnacentral:lncRNA from 1 species